rnacentral:rRNA from 1 species
CCUACGGGAGGCAGCAGUGGGGAAUAUUGCACAAUGGGGGAAACCCUGAUGCAGCGACGCCGCGUGAGUGAAGAAGUAUUUCGGUACGUAAAGCUCUAUCAGCAGGGAAGAAAAUGCCGGUACCUGACUAAGAAGCCCCGGCUAACUACGUGCCAGCAGCCGCGGUAAUACGUAGGGGGCAAGCGUUCUCCGGAUUUACUGGGUGGAAAGGGAGCGUAGACGGCAGCGCAAGUCUGGAGUGAAAUCCCAUGGCUUAACCAUGGAACUGCUUUGGAAACUGUGCAGCUAGAGUGCAGGAGAGGUAAGCGGAAUUCCUAGUGUAGCGGGGAAAUGCGUAGAUAUUAGGAGGAACACCAGUGGCGAAGGCGGCCUGCUGGGCUUUUACUGACGCUGAGGCUCGAAAGCGUGGGUAGCAAACAGGAUUAGAUACCCCUGUAGUC